UAGAACGUCCAUGAGCUUGGUUCCAUCAAUAUUAGGAACAUCUUUCAUUCCAAUAAUUUUCUGGCUCAUUGUGCAGAACGUUUCCUGAGAGUGCAUACGAAGUAUGUGUCAUCUAGAACCUCUUUUUGUCUCUAGGUACAACAGUCAUUUGAAAAACCAAAUGUUAAAGCCCAGAUGCCCACCAUUGAACGACUGUCUAUGACAAGAUAUUUCUACCUCUUUCCUGGCAAUUGAAAAUAAAAAUCACAGGCAGUCUGGCCCUUUAUCAACUUCAAGAAGCACCAUUUAUUACCAGUACAUUACACAUGUUUAACUUCUGGCUUUCAGUAAAAAUGAAAACAAGUGAACUGUGUUUUGGGGGUCUUCUAAGACAGAAUAGAAUUUCAACUCAAAUGGCAGAUGAGUGGAAAUGAAGUGGAAGAAGUAAACUGGAUUUUCUAGCUUUAUGACUCAUAUCAUAUUUGCACUUUAUUGAGUGAAGGAAACUGACCAUGAUUUGGUGUCAGCAACAGAGUGAAAAAAGUUGGUGCCCAUCUGGAUAUGAGAACUAUAAACUGGUCAGCUUCUUUUUUGCACAUCCAUCAAAUCCUGACUCUAGAAUGGUC